rnacentral:lncRNA from 1 species
AGAACAAAGGCCUGGAGACUGGAGCGAGCUGCGUUCUUGGGGGUGGGGGGUGGGGCGGCAGCUGGAGAGUGGGGGCUUCCCCAGCGGGAGAGGGAGGACGAUUCUGGAUGGCUUCCCUCCUUGUGGACAGAGUGAGUCUCUGCUAUGAGAAAGGUGUUCUACAUACGGCUCGGGAGCCAGCAAGUGCGUAUGAAGCCCCUUCACAUGGCUAGUGGCAUCCUAAGGACCCGGCGACAAUUAGUCAUGGCGUCAUCGAACACCAGGCUGGAGGAGGUCUUGGAUGCCACAGCUCCUUUUGAAUUUCAAAGACGUUCAAAUCCCCAUCUGGCUGUUACACUUUUAGGCUAUUGAGAGUGAAAACAAGCACUGACAUGAACACCCAACCAGCUGCCGGUGACAUCGUCCCCUUCUGAGAUCUGAGGACAUGGAUACCCAACCACCUGCCGGUGACAUCGUCUCCUUCUGAGAUCUGAGGACAUGAACACCCAACCACCUGCCGGUGAUAUCGUCCCCUUCUGAGAUCUGAGGACGUGGAUAUCCAACCACCUGCCGGUGACAUUGUCUCCUUCUGAGAUCUGAGGACAUGGACACCAAACCACCUGCCGGUGACAUUGUCUCCUUCUGAGAUCUGAGGACAUGAACACCAAACCACCUGCCAGUGACAUCGUCCCCUUCUGAGAUCUGAGGACAUGGAUACCCAACCACCUGCCGGUGACAUCGUCUCCUUCUGAGAUCUGAGGACAUGGACACCCAACCACCUGCCGGUGACAUCGUCUCCUUCUGAGAUCUGAGGACAUGAACACCCAACCACCUGCCGGUGAUAUCGUCCCCUUCUGAGAUCUGAGGACGUGGAUAUCCAACCACCUGCCGGUGACAUUGUCUCCUUCUGAGAUCUGAGGACAUGGACACCAAACCACCUGCCGGUGACAUUGUCUCCUUCUGAGAUCUGAGGACAUGAACACCAAACCACCUGCCAGUGACAUCGUCCCCUUCUGAGAUCUGAGGACAUGGAUACCCAACCACCUGCCGGUGACAUCAUCUUCUUCUGAGAUCUGAGGACAUGGACACCCAACCACCUGCCGGUGACAUCGUCUCCUUCUGAGAUCUGAGGACAUGGACACCAAACCACCUGCCGGUGACAUCGUCUCCUUCUGAGAUCUGAGGACAUGAACACCCAACCACCUGCCGGUGAUAUCGUCCCCUUCUGAGAUCUGAGGACGUGGAUAUCCAACCACCUGCCGGUGACAUUGUCUCCUUCUGAGAUCUGAGGACAUGGACACCAAACCACCUGCUGGUGACAUUGUCUCCUUCUGAGAUCUGAGGACAUGAACACCAAACCACCUGCCAGUGACAUCGUCCCCUUCUGAGAUCUGAGGACAUGGAUACCCAACCACCUGCCGGUGACAUCAUCUUCUUCUGAGAUCUGAGGACAUGGACACCCAACCACCUGCCGGUGACAUCGUCUCCUUCUGAGAUCUGAGGACAUGGACACCAAACCACCUGCCGGUGACAUCGUCUCCUUCUGAGAUCUGAGGACAUGAACACCCAACCACCUGCCGGUGACAUCGUCCCCUUCUGAGAUCUGAGGACAUUGAUACCCAGCCACCUGCCGGUGACAUCGUCUCCUUCUGAGAUCUGAGGAUAUGGACACCAAACCACCUGCCGGUGACAUCGUCUCCUUCUGAGAUCUGAGGACAUGAACACCCAACCACCUGCCGGUGACAUCGUCCCCUUCUGAGAUCUGAGGACAUGGAUACCCAACCACCUGCCGGUGACAUCGUCUCCUUCUGAGAUCUGAGGACAUGGACACCCAACCUGCUGCUGGUGACAUCGUUCCCUUCUGAGAUCUGAGGACAUGGACACCAAACCACCUGCCAGUGACAUCGUCUCCUUCUGAGAUCUGAGGACAUGGACACCAAACCUGCUGCCGGUGACAUCGUCCCCUUCUGAGAUCUGAGGACAUGGACACCCAACCACCUGCCGGUGACAUCGUCUCCUUCUGAGGUCUGAGGACAGACACUCACAUGGACACCUAAACACCUGCCGAUGAUAUUGUCUCCUUCUGAAAUCUGAGGACAUGGACACCCAACCAGCUGCUGGUGACAUCAUCUCCUUCUGAGAUCUGAGGACAGACACUCACAUAGACGCCCAAUCAGCUGCUGGUGACAUUGUCUCCUUCUGAAAUCUGAGGGUUGGAACACAUUGGCCUGGCUCAGUGUUUCUCCAUGUGGUUUUGAGACCACCUGAGUUGGAACCGAUAUGGGUUCCCAGCCUCACGCCUGGAGAGCUGGAUUUUGCGAGUGUGAGGUUAGGUCCAGCAUCUGCAUGUGUAACGAGCUCCCAGGUGUUUCGUAGAUGCAUUAGGGCUUGAGAAGCUCCUUUCUAGCACCAUCUUCCUUUUUGCGCAUGAGGGAGUUCAGGUCCAGAGAAAUAAAGCAGCAAGGUUAGUGGCA